GAAGAACCUUACCUACUCUUGACAUCCAGAGAACUUUCCAGAGAUGGAUUGGUGCCUUCGGGAACUCUGAGACAGGUGCUGCAUGGCUGUCGUCAGCUCGUGUUGUGAAAUGUUGGGUUAAGUCCCGCAACGAGCGCAACCCUUAUCCUUUGUUGCCAGCGGUUCGGCCGGGAACUCAAAGGAGACUGCCAGUGAUAAACUGGAGGAAGGUGGGGAUGACGUCAAGUCAUCAUGGCCCUUACGAGUAGGGCUACACACGUGCUACAAUGGCAUAUACAAAGAGAAGCGACCUCGCGAGAGCAAGCGGACCUCAUAAAGUAUGUCGUAGUCCGGAUUGGAGUCUGCAACUCGACUCCAUGAAGUCGGAAUCGCUAGUAAUCGUAGAUCAGAAUGCUACGGUGAAUACGUUCCCGGGCCUUGUACACACCGCCCGUCACACCAUGGGAGUGGGUUGCAA
rnacentral:rRNA from 1 species